GGUUAAGCGACUAAGCGUACACGGUGGAUGCCCUGGCAGUCAGAGGCGAUGAAGGACGUGCUAAUCUGCGAUAAGCGUCGGUGAGGUGAUAUGAACCGUUAUAACCGGCGAUUUCCGAAUGGGGAAACCCAGUGUGUUUCGACACACUAUCAUUAACUGAAUCCAUAGGUUAAUGAGGCGAACCGGGGGAACUGAAACAUCUAAGUACCCCGAGGAAAAGAAAUCAACCGAGAUUCCCCCAGUAGCGGCGAGCGAACGGGGAGGAGCCCAGAGCCUGAAUCAGUGUGUGUGUUAGUGGAAGCGUCUGGAAAGGCGUGCGAUACAGGGUGACAGCCCCGUACACAAAAAUGCACAUAUUGUGAGCUCGAUGAGUAGGGCGGGACACGUGGUAUCCUGUCUGAAUAUGGGGGGACCAUCCUCCAAGGCUAAAUACUCCUGACUGACCGAUAGUGAACCAGUACCGUGAGGGAAAGGCGAAAAGAACCCCGGCGAGGGGAGUGAAAAAGAACCUGAAACCGUGUACGUACAAGCAGUGGGAGCCUCUUAAUGGGGUGACUGCGUACCUUUUGUAUAAUGGGUCAGCGACUUAUAUUCUGUAGCAAGGUUAACCGAAUAGGGGAGCCGAAGGGAAACCGAGUCUUAACUGGGCGUUAAGUUGCAGGGUAUAGACCCGAAACCCGGUGAUCUAGCCAUGGGCAGGUUGAAGGUUGGGUAACACUAACUGGAGGACCGAACCGACUAAUGUUGAAAAAUUAGCGGAUGACUUGUGGCUGGGGGUGAAAGGCCAAUCAAACCGGGAGAUAGCUGGUUCUCCCCGAAAGCUAUUUAGGUAGCGCCUCGUGAAUUCAUCUCCGGGGGUAGAGCACUGUUUCGGCAAGGGGGUCAUCCCGACUUACCAACCCGAUGCAAACUGCGAAUACCGGAGAAUGUUAUCACGGGAGACACACGGCGGGUGCUAACGUCCGUCGUGAAGAGGGAAACAACCCAGACCGCCAGCUAAGGUCCCAAAGUCAUGGUUAAGUGGGAAACGAUGUGGGAAGGCCCAGACAGCCAGGAUGUUGGCUUAGAAGCAGCCAUCAUUUAAAGAAAGCGUAAUAGCUCACUGGUCGAGUCGGCCUGCGCGGAAGAUGUAACGGGGCUAAACCAUGCACCGAAGCUGCGGCAGCGACACUAUGUGUUGUUGGGUAGGGGAGCGUUCUGUAAGCCUGUGAAGGUGGCCUGUGAGGGUUGCUGGAGGUAUCAGAAGUGCGAAUGCUGACAUAAGUAACGAUAAAGCGGGUGAAAAGCCCGCUCGCCGGAAGACCAAGGGUUCCUGUCCAACGUUAAUCGGGGCAGGGUGAGUCGACCCCUAAGGCGAGGCCGAAAGGCGUAGUCGAUGGGAAACAGGUUAAUAUUCCUGUACUUGGUGUUACUGCGAAGGGGGGACGGAGAAGGCUAUGUUGGCCGGGCGACGGUUGUCCCGGUUUAAGCGUGUAGGCUGGUUUUCCAGGCAAAUCCGGAAAACCAAGGCUGAGGCGUGAUGACGAGGCACUACGGUGCUGAAGCGACAAAUGCCCUGCUUCCAGGAAAAGCCUCUAAGCAUCAGGUAACAUCAAAUCGUACCCCAAACCGACACAGGUGGUCAGGUAGAGAAUACCAAGGCGCUUGAGAGAACUCGGGUGAAGGAACUAGGCAAAAUGGUGCCGUAACUUCGGGAGAAGGCACGCUGAUAUGUAGGUGAAGCGACUUGCUCGUGGAGCUGAAAUCAGUCGAAGAUACCAGCUGGCUGCAACUGUUUAUUAAAAACACAGCACUGUGCAAACACGAAAGUGGACGUAUACGGUGUGACGCCUGCCCGGUGCCGGAAGGUUAAUUGAUGGGGUUAGCGGUAACGCGAAGCUCUUGAUCGAAGCCCCGGUAAACGGCGGCCGUAACUAUAACGGUCCUAAGGUAGCGAAAUUCCUUGUCGGGUAAGUUCCGACCUGCACGAAUGGCGUAAUGAUGGCCAGGCUGUCUCCACCCGAGACUCAGUGAAAUUGAACUCGCUGUGAAGAUGCAGUGUACCCGCGGCAAGACGGAAAGACCCCGUGAACCUUUACUAUAGCUUGACACUGAACAUUGAGCCUUGAUGUGUAGGAUAGGUGGGAGGCUUUGAAGUGUGGACGCCAGUCUGCAUGGAGCCGACCUUGAAAUACCACCCUUUAAUGUUUGAUGUUCUAACGUUGGCCCGUAAUCCGGGUUGCGGACAGUGUCUGGUGGGUAGUUUGACUGGGGCGGUCUCCUCCUAAAGAGUAACGGAGGAGCACGAAGGUUGGCUAAUCCUGGUCGGACAUCAGGAGGUUAGUGCAAUGGCAUAAGCCAGCUUGACUGCGAGCGUGACGGCGCGAGCAGGUGCGAAAGCAGGUCAUAGUGAUCCGGUGGUUCUGAAUGGAAGGGCCAUCGCUCAACGGAUAAAAGGUACUCCGGGGAUAACAGGCUGAUACCGCCCAAGAGUUCAUAUCGACGGCGGUGUUUGGCACCUCGAUGUCGGCUCAUCACAUCCUGGGGCUGAAGUAGGUCCCAAGGGUAUGGCUGUUCGCCAUUUAAAGUGGUACGCGAGCUGGGUUUAGAACGUCGUGAGACAGUUCGGUCCCUAUCUGCCGUGGGCGCUGGAGAACUGAGGGGGGCUGCUCCUAGUACGAGAGGACCGGAGUGGACGCAUCACUGGUGUUCGGGUUGUCAUGCCAAUGGCACUGCCCGGUAGCUAAAUGCGGAAGAGAUAAGUGCUGAAAGCAUCUAAGCACGAAACUUGCCCCGAGAUGAGUUCUCCCUGACUCCUUGAGAGUCCUGAAGGAACGUUGAAGACGACGAC
rnacentral:rRNA from 1 species